rnacentral:lncRNA from 1 species
GGGUUUUAGGAUUGAGUCACCACAGACAUGGCAUUUGCCAGUUAGAUGCCAGCAUCAUGGUGACAUCUUACCUGCAUCCCUGUUUCUCGCCUGCAGAGCCCCAGACGACAGCCCCAGGCGGGUGGCGAGGCGGAAAUCCAUCUCCUAUGACCUGGCGGAGGAGGAGCUGAUGGUCAGCAUCGAGCGGGAGUACAGCUGCUGAGGCCGCACGCGGUGGCUGUCCCUGGUCACGUCCUGUCCCCAGCCCGGGCUCGGUGCCGCAGAGCCACCUCCAGACUCGGAUUGGCCUGUGCAGACUCACGCUCCUGCGGCCACUGCUGGAGGGUCUGGGGACAGGCGUGUGGCCCCUCCCAGCCACCCAGGAGCCAGGGACUCUCUCUCUUCUGUGACUGCUGUCCAGGGGCGAGGGCCAUGGCACCUGCACACAGCAGUUUUCACCGAAGCCAGAGUUUCCCGCCAGCACAGCCUCAGGACACAGCCUUCAGCCAGACAUCCCCACCUGGGACCCUUGGCAGUUGCGCGCAGACAGAAACCACACUGUGGAGAGAAGCCAAUGCAAAGCGGAGCCCUCCGGCCACUGUCUCCCACCGCAACGCCACGGCUGGAGCAGCACUCAGCGUGGAGUGAUACAAAGCCACCCACAUCUGAGCCGGGGUGACACUGGGCAGCCAGUGUCCACACCGAACUGAAAUGAGGGGCAGGGAGGACGCUCUGCAAAGGACAGUCUUCUGAAGGUCUAGGAACAUUCGACUGCAGAACUGCCCUGGGUCUGGAAACCUGGAAACCUAAAACACACACACACACACACACACACACACACACACACACACACGGAUGAAAAGCAGCUGAUAUGAAAGGGCAGCUUAGCGGGCAUCAAGUAACAUACACUGAAUGAGGGCGAGGGUCAUAGACUACAAAGACCUGAAGACAAAACCUACCUUUAGUUAAUUACCCAAUAGUUCACCUGCCCUCAUUAGAACAAAGACUCAGUGCCAAAACUGAAAGGCAAAGGCAGCAUCUAGAUACAUAGUGCACAUAAAAGAUUCUCCAGCUACCAAAACAGUGCAAUGUUCCCAUCUUCUGCUGCAGUGCUGCCUGGACUCCAAGGGAUGGGCUCGCCUACCCCUGCCUGCCUUCCCAAUGAUGCAAGAAGCCCCACCCACAGGACACUGCCUCUCUGCUCAAGACACCUCCCUUCAAACAGGAGGCGACCAAAAGAGCAGACCACAAGCUCCGUAGUCUCACACCUAGUGAAGGAAUCCUCGUGGGAACCCGACUCCCGGAUGCCGUGGUUCCCAGAGCUGAGCUCUACAGCCCACCGCCUCCACACGAGGAGUGCGGCCUCCUUCGGUGCGUGGGCAAACUGCUCCUCCAUGGCUGAAGGACACGGGCACCCCGACACUCACAGGCCACAGGGCCUGGAGCUCCCUGGGAACGACUCCGCGAAGCAAGCGAAGACUCCGCAAAGCAAGCGGCCACGCCAUGGCACGCCACGGCACGCCAUGCCACGCCGCUCUCCCCUUCUCUUCAGGAGGCCCUCCUUCAACCAGUUCUGAUUCCAAACAAGUCUUAGCUCCAAGAGGCCUGGUAACACACGGGAUUUCUUUCUAAAUUGUGUACCACGCUUACUAAAAGCAGGGUCGUUAUAAAACUGUUAUUAAACACUGAAAAGGCUGAAUAUGAUCUAGAAACUGGUGAUUGGAGCACCAAUAUAAAUAUUUUUAUAAAAAACAGUAUAAAAGUAGUACCCUGUCUUAUUUCUACAAAACAUGAGUAGAAAGGUUGUAAAAAUCCAGAUUUUGUAAACUUUACUGCCAAAAUGGUUGUUUGAAUGCUGGUGAUUUAGCUUAUCAAUUUUUCCAUUCCCUUAAACAAAAAGAAACCUGUGAAACUGCAAAAGAUAGAACAGGGUCUCAAACAGAAAGCAGUGAACAGCCCUCCCCAGCGCGGUCCAGGAGGAGCCCGGCUUCCUUGCCGCCGGCCCGCGGGCUCAGGGCAGGGUCAGGGCGAGGCGGGCCCAGGCGCAGGCAUGAGUGGGGCCGGUCGGGCCGGGCUCUCGGCCGCUGCGCUCUCAUGCAGCUUGCCCACCUCUGCCUGCCAGCCCGGGACCUUCUUGGCACUCAUGUGGCGCCGUGCGUGCUUCGUCAGGUGGUCGCUGCGCAUGAAGCGCCCUCGCACACGGGGCACGCGAACUUCUUCUCCCCUGUGUGCGUGCGGCGGUGACGCGACAGUUCAUUCAGAGCGCGGCGAACUUCUUGUCGCAGCCGUCCCAGCUGCAGUUGAAAGGCUUCUCCCC